AUUAAUAUUUAAAUUUAAUUAAUAAUACAAUGAAUUUAAUUACAAUACGAUGAAAGUGCGAUUGAAUCUAAACAGGCACUAAGAAAUUUUGAUCUUGAAAAUUUGGGAUUUUAUCCCAUAUUGACUCUAGAAAACAACCAUCCACAAACAAAGGAAGAGAUUUUCUUCUGGAAACUCUUAAAAGCCAAUGCCUAACCUAUUGCCAUUGUCGAUUUAACCAAACAUCACACGCCUAUUACCACCUUGAUUCACACUCACCACUACUUGCAAUCCUUCCAACCUCAUCGACCUCCAACCCAGACACCACCUAGCUAAACCUAGAUCACGCAACACCUAAGCCAUUGUCACCACUAAAAAAUCGAACCAGACCUUUUUUUUCUCAACAGCUACGAAAAAAGCCUAGCCUAUCAUCAACAUCCCCAAGAGGAUCCACAGUUAAAAAAAAGAAAACAACAAAAACAUAAGAAUCAAAUAGCAAAAGGUUUCGGACUUAGAAGUUUAAAAGGGCUUUGGCGCUUCAAACUUAGGUAAGAUGGAGAUGUAGGGAGGAGGAACAACAUAUCAAAAGACGGAGGCCAUCGAAUAAGCCAAAACCGACAAAAAGAAAAUUUUGGCUGAAACCUUAUGGACUUUUAGGGGUUAUUUUUUGAGAUUUAGGGCUUAGAACGAUGAUAAAGAGGUUCAGAGAAACAUUUUAAGAAUUUUGAAAUUUUUUCCGAUGCCGAAGAUGACUAACGGUGGAUGGUAUGAUGACUGACGCCUAAUUCUGGAUUAAUCAUCGACUUCUUCUGGGAUUUUUAGAAAGAGACUUUAGAGAAAAUUGAAAGAGAAAAAGAAAGGCCAAAAUUAAUAAAAAAAAAAAA
rnacentral:lncRNA from 1 species